GACGUAGGGCGCGAGCGUUGUCCGGAUUUAUUGGGCGUAAAGAGCUCGUAGGCGGCUUGUUGCGUCGACUGUGAAAGCCCGUGGCUUAACCGCGUAGUCUGCAGUCGAUACGGGCAGGCUGGAGUUCGGUAGGGGAGACUGGAAUUCCUGGUGUAGCGGUGAAAUGCGCAGAUAUCAGGAGGAACACCGGUGGCGAAGGCGGGUCUCUGGGCCGAUACUGACGCUGAGGAGCGAAAGCGUGGGGAGCGAACAGG
rnacentral:rRNA from 1 species